rnacentral:rRNA from 1 species
UACGUAGGUGGCAAGCGUUGUCCGGAUUUACUGGGCGUAAAGGAUGCGUAGGUGGAUAUUUAAGUCAGAUGUGAAAUACCCGAGCUCAACUUGGGUGCUGCAUUUGAAACUGGAUAUCUAGAGUGCAGGAGAGGUAAGUGGAAUUCCUAGUGUAGCGGUGAAAUGCGUAGAGAUUAGGAAGAACACCAGUGGCGAAGGCGACUUACUGGACUGUAACUGACACUGAGGCAUGAAAGCGUGGGAAGCAAACAGG